GGAGGGAUCGCAUAGUGGCCUAGUGCGUUCGCUUGGAGAGCGAAUACGCCCGCAAGGGCGUCCAGGGUUCAAAUCCCUGUCCCUCCGCCA
rnacentral:tRNA from 1 species